ensembl:lncRNA
GACCCUGGCACCAAGUAAGAGCUCAGAAGCAGUUACAGCCAACAUGAAUACAGGGGCUUGCUGUGUGCCAGACGCAGUUCUAGGGGCUUUGCAUCAUAUUAUCUCUUUUUAUCUUUAUAACAGCCUUUAUGAGGCAGACACCAUUUCAUCUCCACUUUACAAGUGAGGAAACCCAGACACAUGAGGUUAAGAAAGUUACCCACGACUUUCUGAUCAAGAGAGACAGAAGUCCAAGAUUAGCGACUACUGUUUUCUCCUUUCCUCUCAUUAUAUAGUCAAAGAAUGAAGAAAAGGAGAUCCAUGAUGAGUGAAAAUUUCCCAGGAGCUACUUUCUAACUGUAUUUCAUUUUAUCCGCAAAACAAAUCUGAGAUAGAGCAGAAUUGUUCUCCUUCUACAGAAGGAGCAUGGAGGGCUUAAGGGAUGUAAAGAGGGCAAGUGCAUUUAUGUGGAGGUCCGUCCUGUGUCCUAUUCCAAAACCCAUUCUUGCGUCUCAAGAGUAAGUUCUAACAGGGGAGUUAAGGGUUAACCAGCUCAGGCUGGAAGAGCUGAAUCACCCAAUUAAAGGAGACUUGCUGCUUUGAUGAGAAGAUCUGAUCCAAAACUGCUGGGGUGACUCUCCUUGACCCUACCACUUGGGCAGCUUGAUUUAUCUUUUCUGUAUCCCUGACCUUGAUGUUGAAAUCAUUACUCAACCCUCAGUGAAGCUCUUAACUGGCUUUUUUUGAAAUGACUCAUGCAUCGGGGUCCAUCCAGCCAUCUUGACUUUGUAGGGUCUGAGGCCCUGAAUUAGCUCCUGAGAACCCAGUGCCCAAACGGGUGUCCCCAGGUGGGUCUGGCGGACCGUAGGUGGCAGCUUUGUUGGUUCUCCUUCACUUCGCUUCUCUCUGGAUGUGCGCAUACGUUUUCUCUCAUUGCUAAGGCACGCCCCAAGCUUUUUGCUUAUUUGUUUUUAUUUUCAUCUUAAAAUCACCCCUGCACUGUUCUACCCCUCCCAUCAACCUACCUAUAUGCAUAAAUCUUCUCUAGUUUUGAUCAGCUGUCUUUUUUUCUCCUCCAAGCUACCCUCUCUUCCCUUCUCACUAAAUAAAUUCUUAAAUGAGAAUCAUGAUGUAGUCACUUGAUCACCUGAAUUCGGUCCCUCCCCCAGCUCUGCACUUUCAAAGCCUAUCCCCUUUCCACUCUCCACUCCCAGAGGGCAGGUAAAGCUGUGGGCCCCUCCCUCCCUCCUGGACACUCCUCCAGCCCAGAAGCUGGCUCUGUGGUUUCUGCACUCCUUUUACUGCCUUUUUCAUUUUCUUUUGCUGGCUCUCCUUAGAGCUUAAAUGCAGGUACUUCCUGCAAAUGUGUGUUCCUAUUCCUCCUCAGUACACCACCUUCCUUCUGAUUUCAUCCAACUUUAUGGCUUCAACUGUUGCCUCUGGGUGUCUGGCUGCUUCUAAACUAUUGUCUAGCCUGACUGCUUUCCCGAGACCAGAGCUUGGUUUGCAGCUGCGGAACGGGUGCGCUGAAGCCUCCUCUGGCAUGCAAAUGGUGUUGCACCUUGUCAGCAACGCCGUUCCUGUGCUGCCUUCUCUUAGAGGCUCCGGCUUCAAAUUGGAGAGCCCGUUUCAGCUCCUUUCAAGCACUGACCAAACCAUGGAAAUUCUAUUUCUGAACUUCUCAAACCUUUUCACCUUCUUUCCACUGUCCUAGCAUAGGCUUUUCGUAUGUUCUAUCUUGAUUAUUGUGAUAGUUUCUCAAUAGAUCUCUUUGAAUGUUAUCUUUGACUCUCAGUGAUACAGGUACAGAGCAAAUCGUAUCAUUUCCUGAAAACUUUCUGUGAGACGCUUCUUGCAAAUUAAGUAAAAUUGCAAUUCUGUAACCUGUGGUGAAAUGCCCCUUUCAUUUAGCCCAGCCUCCAUCCCGGCCCCAUUGCUGCCCAGGGUCCCUUCUCCUGUCACACCCUGGUUGCUUUCUCCUAACUGGAAGGCUCCUCUCUGCCUGGCAAUCAAUAUACCACUCUGCAUCGGAGGCUGGGAAGCAAUUUUAGGAGGCUUUCCUGGAUAUCCCCAGGAGGAAUCAUAGUCACGACAGAAUUAGGGGCAGCAGGUUAGCCUAUAAGUUAGGGUCAAAUCGUGUUUACCAGAGAUAGUGCAUUCUUUGCACUAAACAUCAUGAGUCUAGUAUUAAAAUGUCGUUUUUCUUUUCUACACUCAGUGUUGUAGCAGGAGACCAGGAAGUUAAUUGUGAUUUCCUUCCCGAGUCAAAAAAGAAAAACUCACAAGAUAUGGGCACUUUGAUCCUAUUGCGCAAGUUUUCAUUGAGUGUCUGGGUUAUUCCACAAUGGGAUGUAAAGACUGUAGAUUCCAAGGCAUAUCUCACCCUCAAGAAGCCUAUAUUUGGACUGGGAAAGAGAGAUUUGUACCAUAUGACAUCAUUUCAUUAAAUGUGUGGUGCCGACAGGACUGUGUUAAUCUGUGACAUUUUACUCUUUUUGGUUUAAACAUUUGUUUUUCAAUAUUAUGAUUUUAAAUUUUGGAUGUAUUGGAAACAUGGGAAUAGUGCCUUUCACCUCUCUCCAAUUUCCUUUAUUUUAUUUUUUAAAAUUAACACAUAAUAAUUGCACAAAUUUAUGGGGUACAUAGUGAUGUUUUGAUACACACAAUAUAUAGUGAUUCUCCUUUCUCUUUACUCAGAGGCCAAGGUGGAGAUGGUGGUCUCCCAGAUGUUCGUAAAGGUCAUUUUAGCAAAAAUAUUUUUUUAAUUAAGUGUUUUAGUAUAAACCAUCUUCAACUGUUUUCCAUUAUACAAGCUGUAAUCCAUCCAUGCCUUUAUUCAUUCAUGCAUUAAGGGCCCACUGAAUGCCACAUUCACUUAUGGUGAGAAUGAGCUCAGGCCCUUCCCAGGAAAGCUGGUAUUGACCAUCUGUCUGAACAUCUAAACAUUGUCUGAACAUCGAAGCUACAACACACUAAAAGAUGAUUCCUGGGGCCUGCUGCUUUGCUUCUUUCUACCUGCUCCACUCCACUGUGGCUCCAUUUGUUCUGAAGGCAGGUGUAGCCUUUAGCAGUCUGCUCACUUGUCUGGCUUCUUUGGAAGGUGGGCGUUGAUAGAUUCAAAGAACGGCAAGCAGAGAGCAACGUCUUUACACCAUGAACUAUGGCCAGCAGCCAUGUGCAUUUGUUAGGUCUUUUUAGUAGCAUAUUUGUAUUAAAACAUCAACAAACUUACACCUACCCUGAAUCUUACCAAAGCAGCUCCAAAUGGAAUUUUUCAGUAAAUAUUCACACCAGAGAGCUUUAAACAUUAGACUAGAAAGUCAGAAGUGGUCAGAGUAGGACCACUGCUCACAGCUCUAUCUUGGCAGGGUACCCAGCGAUCCUCAGUUAGAUUUUCAGACUCUUUAGAGUGGGAUCUAGAAGAGAAAUCUUUCUUCUGCUAAUAUUGCUCACCUCUUGUAACAGACAUUGCAGGUACCCUCUCCAAGCACAGUUUCUCAGCACUGGCCUCUAUUCUCAGAUGACUGCUCACUGCAGACACCUGUGAUUCUUUCAGGGUGGUUGCGGGGACAUGCAGGGUCUGUGCCUAGGGCAAGCAGAGGUGCCAGGCUUACUGCCUCAAGACAAAAUGUUCCAAUGAAGGCUAGAGAGUUGGCAUUACUCCCUCUCAGCUUGCCUUGGGCGUGAGCUUCAGUUGUGCACCGUGGCAACUGACUUGAUCACCUCCUAAAUCCUCCUCCGAUGUCUCCUGGGAUUGUCUCCCAAAUAAACUACUUGCACUCAAA